CUAAGAAGGUAGGAGGGCAGAGUUCAGGACAAACACAAAAUAGAGAACGUAGGAGGCUGUAAGAACAAUAAUGGGAACUUCAGAGACAAAAAAUGAGUUGGGCAUGGUCAGGUCUUCUUUAUAUUCAAGGUUUUCACAAUACAAACCCC